CAACGAUCGUCACACAUGGAUUUUGGAACCAUGCUGUUCUGCUAGAAUUUCCUGUCUCCAGUGUUUGUGAAGGAUUGUGAUCCUGUCUCUGAUCGUUCACCAUCCCCUGCAUCCGGCCUGCCUCUAGCAUCUCCAGCACUCUCUCUGGCUCCUCACUUAGCAAGACUGGACUUCCUACUGCAUUGUUACCAAGUCCCAUCUUCCCACAGCCAAGAAAGAGCUUCAGGAUUCCAUCUGCUGCUCCUUUGCUCUGUCCCAUCUGCGCAAGGAGACUGUGUCUCAGAGUUGCUGAUCACAGCCCUACUGCUGCUGAUAGGACCCCUGUACACACUUGACAAUUAUUGAAGACCAUAAAGAGCUUUUAAGUGGGUUAUAC